rnacentral:rRNA from 1 species
AACGAACGCUGGCGGCAUGCCUAACACAUGCAAGUCGAACGAGACCUUCGGGUCUAGUGGCGCACGAGUGCGUCACGCGUGGGAACCUGCCCUUAUGUUCGGCAUAACUCUACGAAAGGGGUGCUAACACCGGAUCAUGUCUACGGACCAAAGAUUUAUUGCCUUUGGAUGUGCCCGCGUUGGAUUCGCUAGUUGGUAGGGUAAAAGCCUACCAAGGCGUCCAUCCAUAGCUGGUCAGAGAGACUGAUCAGCCACACUGGGACUGAGAAACGGCCCAGAAUCCUACGGGAGGCAGCAGUGGGGGAUGGUGCACAGUGGGCGAAAGGCUGAUCGAGUAAUGACGCGUGAGUGAUGAAGGCAUUAGAGUUGUAAAGCUCUUGUACCCGGGAUGAUAAUGACGGUACCGGGAGAAUAAGCUCCGGCUAACUCCGUG